rnacentral:ncRNA from 1 species
GCAUUAGGUGCUCUAGCAAUAGAGAGAAUAGGGAAUAAAGUGCAAAACUUUAGCGGUCCCGCCACUGUAACAGCGAAUAAGAUGGAAAGAUGCCACUGAUUGAUCGGGAAGGCUUCAUCUUAUGUUGACCUGAAGCCAGGAGACCUGCCUAACGCU